UACAGAGGGUGCGAGCGUUAAUCGGAAUUACUGGGCGUAAAGCGUGCGUGGACGGUUAUGUAAGUCAGGUGUGAAAGCCCCGGGCUCAACCUGGGAAUUGCAUUUGAGACUGCAUAGCUAGGGUGCGGAAGAGGGAAGCGGAAUUUCCGGUGUAGCGGUGAAAUGCGUAGAUAUCGGAAGGAACAUCAGUGGCGAAAGCGGCUUCCUGGUCCAGCACCGACGUUCAGGCACGAAAGCGUGGGGAGCAAACAGG
rnacentral:rRNA from 1 species